GGCUUGUUGAUUAUAAUUUCAGGUCUAACCUGCUCAAUGAGUUAUUAAAUAGCCGCGGUAUAUUGACUGUGCAAAGGUAGCAUAAUCAUUAGUUUUUUAAUUGAAAGCUUGUAUGAAAGGUUCGAUGAAAAGGAGGCUGUCUCUUUGAAAUUUUAUUAGAAUUUUAUUUUUAAGUAAAAAAGCUUAAAUGUUUAUAGAAGACGAGAAGACCCUAUAGAGUUUUAUAUUUAAGGGGCUAUUUAAUUUUUAGGAAUUAAAAGAUUAAUUUUUUUUUAAAUAUUUUAUUGGGGUGGUAGAAAAAUUAAAUCAACUUUUUUUGUAUAGAUACAUUUAUUUAUGGGUUUACGAUCCUAAAGUUUAGAUUGAAAGAAUAAAUUACCUUAGGGAUAACAGCGUAAUUUUUUUUAGAGUCCUUAUUGAAAAAAAAGAUUGCGACCUCGAUGUUGGAUUAAAAUAAAUUAUUGGUGUAGAAGCUAUUUAAUUAGGUCUGUUCGACCUUUAAAAUUUUACAUGAUCUGAGUUUAGACCGGCGUGAG
rnacentral:rRNA from 1 species